UUGCAAAACAACAAAAGGUUUAAUGCAGGAUGAAAAUUCAGUUCAACUUAAGAAAGCCCCUUUAACAAUCCAAAAAAUUAAUAAUACAGAGAUUUUAUGUAUCUAUUGUUUUUCAAUAUCAAUAGCAUGAAUUUUUCUCACUUCUUGCCAAAAAUUGUAAAUAUUUUUUGAGCAGGUGAUUUCUCAUACACUGGUAAAAAUCUGCUACAUCAAGCUCUGAAUUAUUUAAAUCAUCUCAGAAACCAUCUUGGAUCAUUUUACGAAAACCACUUCCAACUUGAAAAAUACCCAAGAAUAUUUUGAGGAAGCUUGCAAAAAAACAACUAGGACAUAUUCUGUAAGGAUGGAAUUUGUGAAUGGCGCCACCUAUUGUCACAGAGAGGUUACCAUUCCUGAUUAGGAUAAAAAAAAACGAAGAGGAGUGAAGGUUUGAGAGGAAAGAACAAGAAUAUGAGAAAUUCAUGAACAAGUAUACUGAAAAGGAAGAAGGAAUCCAUUGCAAGAAUUAAGCAGAUACCUAAAAAUAUCUUCGCAAGUGCUGGAAAACGAGAUGAAAACAUGGAAAUAAUGGCUGCUAGCAAAUAAUGCUUUGUUAUACCAGGAGAGUAUGCAUAAUGAGUUGAUAAGAUAUGAUGCUAAAAGCUACUACUUAGGAGUUAUAAGCUGAAAUAUUGUACUACUACAGCUUGGCAUGUGUUGAUGAUAUGAACGAAGCUGCACAACCAAGGGUACAUGGGCCACACUAGAAGACUGACGGGCAACGAACUAUACCAAGUGUACUCAUGAGAAAUGAAAUCGGGAUACUGAGCAACGGGUGAACUGCAAAGCCUGUAGAAACAAAAUUGCAACAUACGAAUAAUACCUGGCAACUGCAGAAACCAGCUCAAACACCAAUGCCCACUGCAACAGCAGGACAGACCACCUGAAAAUGAAGGGUAAAAAUGGUUUGUGCACUGUCAGAAUAAUCAGAGUGAUCUACUCCCUUGCUUUUUUGCUACUCGCACUUCAAAUUCAUAGCUGCUUCGCCUCUUCAAUUGUAACACCUCCAAGCUCAAAGAUAGCGACCGAAGGCUACCCCGUCUCAUUUGAAUGCACGGUGGCUGAGGUACCGCCAGGUGUCAACGUCUCUUGGAUGCAAGAUGAUCAGGAGAUAACUAAUGAAAAAAUAAUAUCUGAUGCAUUUAAAGACCGGUUUGAAAUUGAAAUCACAGAGGCAGCUAAAACAUACACUUACAGGUUAGUCUUAAACAGAGUGAAACGCGAAGAUAGUGGUUUUUCUUAUAAGUGUCAAAUCAAUGACGUGCCUAAGAUAACAUCUAAAUCUGUUCAAAUUGAUGUGCGUCAAGUUCCGGGUAAAGAAUAUCCAAAGUGUAUUCAACCAGUAGACAAUAUCAAAGAGGGUGACAUGGUAGAACUCGAAUGUCAAUCAGAGCAUGUAAAACCAUUACCAAAUUUAGAAUGGCAAUACAAUGGUAAAAAGGUAUCUUCUGACCAAUUAAACAGUUCCGAUUCAAUUAGCAUUAAACAUGUUUUUCAAGUUACUAAGGACCGAGUGUACAAUUACACUUUCAGUUGCGUUUUACAACAAGUGGUUGUCGGACCAGAACGAACAUGUUCCAUUGGUCCUCUCCGGAUCUUAUAUAAACCCGAAGUUGAUAUAAUUGGAGAUACUAUAAUAGAGACUAACAAAGAACAUGUAUUUAUUUGUAAUAGUCCAACAUAUCCAACGCCUAAGCAGUAUAAGUGGACAUUUAACCCACCGUUAUCGCAUGAACAAUACAGGACUGAGAGUGAGGACAUGGUCUUACGAAUAAAACACCUCACUCAGAAGAAUGACGGUACUACUAUUACGUGUGAGGUACAGAACAGUGCCGGCUGGGGUGUAAAAGACAAAAAGAUUCAAGUAAUAGUUGACCCAAAUACAUUUAAUCCCACCCUUGAACCUAUCCCAGACAAGCCAAAACCAGAUCAAUCAGCCGCACCGAAUACAUACGGUGAUAUGACAACUGCCAUGAUCUUGUCUAUUGCAGGAUGCAGCCUGCUUGUUUUGUCGCUUCUUGCUGCUACCCUUCUCUGUUACUUCUAUAUGUGUGUGAGAAAGCGUUAUCUUCAUGGAUCUGGUUAUAAGAUUGCGCAACCAGACGUAUAUUCAGAGCCACGAGAUAACCUCCCUGCACCAGUUCAUACAAUGGAACGUGUUCCGCCAUGGAUGCAAAGGACUGUGGGAAUUCAAGUUCGUGCUGAUUUACCGUUAGAAAUGGGGGAAGUUUACACGGGAAUCAAUAAAAGCAUUGAGCAGACUAAAAAGGAAGAGUAUAUAAAACCAGCUAGUCGAUCAGUAUAGCGUGCACUUGGUAAAUAUAUGGCCUGGAACACGCACACACCAGAAGGACAAAAUACAGAGAAGUAUGAAUGGGUACCUGGAGGGGUUGCCUGCUCCUGCGUUGUUUAGCAGCAGCAUCACUUAAAUCAUGUGGACCCAAUGACCAGGGAAAAGAACUGUGCUUUAUACCCUCAAAGAAGAGGCGCAUUAUAAAUGCCUGUACCAGUUACCAGUACCAGCUACCAGCCGAAGCGGAAGUGAAGAGACAAAGUACAAAACAAGUCAGUUUUUGCUGACUCUACAGAUCAAACAUCGAUGACACUAUUUACUGAGUGUUUUAUUGGCAAGAAAACAUUUCUCAACUAACUUUUAAUAAAAAAUAUUUACUUAUUUCUG
rnacentral:misc_RNA from 1 species